AGGUCCAGGUUUGAAGAACCAAAUUUCAGUGGAAGGUUUGGAGCUACUUUCUGACUUGAUUGCCAGCCAUCUGCAACUCCACACUCCCUGCUGAGGAACUGGCCGGGAGACAAAGCAAUGGGAAACGGUGAAGGAGUCGCCCCCGUGAUGUGAGCAGAGAGCUUUUGGCAGUAGCCCGGCUGAAUUAAGACCACAAUCCUUUUCGGAAAUCAGUCUAAAAUGAACUCUUCACAAUAAACAUGAAAUUAAAAGCAUGAUGUACUAGUGACUCAGAAGGAAUGUGAGCGCUUCUCCAGGAACUGCCGAGUCCCCGUGGACGAACCGUGUCUGGAUCAUUCCACAUUUCCUGCGAGUAAGUGAACCUCUAACCCUGUGGUGUUGCCGCCUAUGGAAAUAUCACCUACGACUUCCAACGGGGAAUGCCAAACAUUUGGAUGGAAACUAUUAAGUGCACAUCUGCGGCUUCCAAUAACAACUGUGCAAACUGAAGUCUGUGGAUAAACGCGUCAGAAUGAGCAAGAGGCACAUCAGCGUGAAGCA